rnacentral:lncRNA from 1 species
UCCCUUCUAUGCCGAAGAGCCUGGAAGUGAAUUUUGGGGCGCCAGUUGUUAGGAAAAUAGGUGGUCUGCUUCAUGGAGUUACACGGGUUUUUUUUCCAGGUGACUUGGGGAUGGGCUGUGGUACUCUUCUCCAAAAGUUUAUUUGUGCUGAUGGGUUCUUGUAACCCGAUCCGUGCCGUGUGUGUGUGUGUGUGUGUGUGUGUGUGUGUGUGUAAGUUGAUGGGGGCAGUAGGGAGUUGGGGGCGAGGGGCGGCGACCAGAGAACCAUCUCCCACUCAGGCGCCUGCUCCGCCCCCUGCGCGAGGUGUGAGGAGGGGUUUCCUCCCAAGACAGUUUUGUUAAAGUCGUAGAAGUUUUUAUAGAGUGUUUCUAUUUGACAUCAUCAGCCUGCCAGGCUGGGGCAGGAAUUGCUGAAGCUGCCGCUUCUGCACGAGGAGAGGGCCCGGGCAGAGCAACUGGAGGGACGAGGGAGGUCGGGCGGUGAGCUCGCGCCCUGUGCGGGCUGCAAUUGGCCGCUGGCGGUAGCGGAGCUGAGGUUAGUAGAGUCACGGCCACCAGCCUCCAUGAACUGAGGCGAAUUGAGCUGGUCGGAAAUUGUGGCAAGCUGGACUCUCUUACCCCUGGACACACACGUGGUUCUACAAUCAACCGGUCUUGAAAGUUUUGACAGAACCACCGAGGCCUGAAGAUUGUGGGUCCCACAGGUAUGGAUCUUUGGCAGUUGCUAUUGACCUUGGCACUGGCAGGUGCAAGCAAUGCUUUUGCUGGGAGAGAGGCCACAACAGCUACUUCUGACAGUGCACCCCCAAGUCUGCAAAGAGUUAAUGCAAGCCUGGAAACAAAUUCUUCUGGGAACCCUAAGAUCACCAGGUGCCGUUCACCUGAACUAGAGACAUUUUCAUGCUACUGGACAGAUGGGGGUCAUCAUGAUUUAAAGAUGCCAGGAUUCAUACAGCUGUUCUAUGUUAAAAGGUGCGUCCAUCAUAUUUUUCUGAUUUCUCUCUCUGUGAAUUAUCUCAUUAAAGUGUAUGAGCCACAGAUAGUGUAGGAAUGGAGGUGAUUUAUUUUGAAGACCUAAAUGCAUUCAUUCAUUUAAAAAAUAUUAAUUAAACUCUUACUAUGUGCUAGGUACUGUUUUAGGCACUAGAGAUAUAACAGUGAUUACAAAAAGAUAAAAAUUCUUGGUCUCAUGGAGAUUCCUUUCCAGUGUGGAGGAGAGAGACAAUAAAAAAUAAAUAAAGGAUCACCUGGUAACAUCAGGUUAUUAAAAUAAAGCCAGAAAAAAGAUAAAGAAUGUCAUCACCAUGUUUGAGCAUGUGCAUGAGUGUGUGUGUGUAUGUGUGUGUGUUUGUGUGUGUGUCAAAGGGGGAGUGAGAGUAUGUGGAUAUACAUGAGUGUGUGAAUGUGAGUGGCACUGUGUUUUGGGUGCUUGAGUGAUACUUGAGAUGGGGAGUCAUAAAAGGCCUCUCCAAUGUGGUGUGUUUAGAGCAGACAAAGAAAUGCAGGGAGAGAGACCACGUGAGUAUCUGAGGGAAAGACUGUGUAGGCAGAGAAAAUUGCAAGUACAAAUUGAGGCAGUCUCAGCAUGUUUGAGGAAAGUGGAAGGCCAGAAGGAGUGGCACAAGGCUGAAAAUGGGAGAAAGUGAUAUGGGAAGGAGUUAGAGAGUUACUUGGGGACAGACCUGUCAAGCCUUCCAGGCCAGGGAGGGCUUUAAAUUUUUAUUUGUGGUGGAAAGCCAUAGAUGUGCUUUGAAAACUGUAUGUUUUCAAAGAUUCAUCUUGGGUUUCUACAUAGAGAAUAGACUAUCUUCCUCUUAAAUUAGUUAUAUUCACUGAAGAACUGUAAUACUUUCUCAUUGUCACUAUGGUCCUAAAAAAUAACAGAGGAAGAGAAAGACAAAGAUCUUGAAAUGUAGUCACUACCCAAUCAGUUUAUUUUUAACCCUUUGCUUGGAAUUAUUUCCUUUUUGUUAUUCUUACAUUAUAUCCUUUCUUAAUUGACACAUAUGCACAUAUUUAUGGCAUAUGUAUGGCAUAUGUAUGAGAUUUCAAUACAUGCAUAUAGUGUGUAAUGAUCAGAUUUGGGUAAUGGACAUAUCUGUCACCUCAAACAUUUAUCAUCAUUUAUCAUUUCUCUAUGUUGGGAACAUUCAGAAUCCUCUCCACUAGCAGUUUUGAAAUAUUCAGUUAAUUGUCGUCACCAUAGUCACCCUACUGUAUUAUAGAACAACACUAUACAUUUUUACUUUUUAAAAUUUCAGGCUUAAACACUUCAACAUCUCUUCUUUACCACGAGAGAAGGCCUAAACCAAGACACAAAGUUAGUGAGGAUCUUUAAGUUUAGAAUCAUAUUUAUCCAUUGGGUACCCACUGAGGACCUGGGAAAAGAAAGGAAGAUGCAGCCAGCAUUUAGGAACCUGAGCUCAGAAUCACAAACUCUGCAUUUCAGCCUUGCUCCAGCACUUGCUCGCCAAAAAAUUCUGAACAAAUUGGUCAAGCUGUGUACAGCUCAGCCUCCUCACCUGCAAAAUGGAGAUAACAGACUUGCCUCAUGGCUUUUUGUGAGGAUUUUGUUAGAUAAUACUCAAAAAACAUUUGGCACAGACCUUCACACAUAAUUAUUCAAUAAAUGGUAGCUGCUUUUCAUAUUGUUGGUAGUCUAAUAAUAAUAAUUUAAAAUAACAAUGAUGUAGGAGCCCAAUUCUGGACUAUACAAAUGACUUCUUAAUUCUUUACUGUUGGUGUCAUUAGUAUAAGUGACACCCUUUUUAGUACAAAGCUAGAUUCUUAAUUUGCAACUAACAAAUACUUUGAGUUAGCAACCAUGAGUGGCCUUACUCACCUGCUAGGUAUGAGAGGGGCUCUUGGAAACAUCAGAAAGGGUACACAAAGAUGAGCUGGUUGAGUAACAAAUAUGCCCUUUAUUUGCCUUAUGGUUGACAUUGCAGAGAAGUAUGGGCCAGUAAAUAAAGCUGGUUUCUAUAAGUAUAGUCAAUCAUGAAGCUAAGGUGUUUGGUAACACUUUUCAGCAUAUAUGAAUUGAUUGUGCUAUUCAUAAAUGAAGAGAAACAGUAGGUGGAGUUUUGUGCUUUUCUUCAACAAAUCAGAGCUAGCUCAAUCAAAAUUAAUAAAAUAAUUUAUUCAUUCAGACUCAUACAGCAAAGACAAUGCAGAUCAUCUUCUGACUCUUAUCAUUGUUUCUUAGAGUUCAGUUCCCAGACACUGCAGAAAAUAUAGAAUCAUUUUUAUUGUCCCUGACACACACCUAACAGUGUGACAUGAUUUUAUCCAACACUGGAGUCACUGAAGGCAGAGAGGAACAGGGAAGGCCUGGCCUUGUUAUCCAAAGCACAAGGGGAUCUAGACAUAUUGGGCUGUCAAUAGGAGAUCAAAUGCACAGGUACAUAGGCACUUUUGUGCUUUGCUUGGUCCUGUUCAUCUUGCCAGGUGAGCUGGAGAAGAGGCAGCCACAGUAUAUUAGGACAGCUGAUUCAGAAUAGUCUCUGCCACCCAGUGAUGGAAGUGGUGCCAAAUUCAGCCUCUAAGCUUGAAGUUGACCCAGCAUGAAUGCAAAUGACAGGCAUAGCAAAAGCAGGCUGUGGAAGCAUGGCAGAGCUCCUUUGCCCUCAGCUCCUCCAUUGGAUAUGGCAUUAUUUUCAAAGGAACUGGGUAUGUGAACCCUUGGUUCAUUAAGGGUGCAUCCUCCUACCUUUGACAUCCUCCACAAUAGUCUCCUCCAAAAAUUACCCUGCCUAGAGCAACCCCCAAUGCCGAGGAGGAGCCUUCACUAAGGUACCAUGAGAAAUCAAUCCAGCAGCUGCUAAAUGAUCCAAAGAAGAAUAACAGAAGACUGAUUAGAGUCAAUGAAGAAACAGGAGAGAGUGCAGAUGACAUAAAAAAAUUGUUCACAGAAGUGAUGGCAGAAAACUUCCCAACCAGGGGAAAAGAACUGGACAUACAGAUAAGUGAGGCAUAUAGGACUCCAACUAGACUUGAUCAAAAAAAAAAUUUUUUUCACAUACACAUAUAAUAGUUAAGAUUCCAGAAACCCAACAGAAGAACACAAUUCUACAAGCAGAGAAAAGAAAUAAAUCACAUACAAAGGAAAGCCCAUCAGAAUCACAGCAGACUUUCUCAAUGCAAACCCUUAAGGCAAGAAGAGCUUGGAG